rnacentral:rRNA from 1 species
GACGAACGCUGGCGGCGUGCUUAACACAUGCAAGUCGAGCGGAAAGGCCCACUUGUGGGUACUCGAGCGGCGAACGGGUGAGUAACACGUGAGUAAUCUGCCCUUCACUCUGGGAUAACGUUCAGAAAUGGGUGCUAAUACCGGAUGUUCACAUGGUCUCGCAUGGGGUUGUGUGGAAAGGUUUUUCUGGUGGGGGAUGUGCUCGCGGCCUAUCAGCUUGUUGGUGGGGUAAUGGCUUACCAAGGCUUUGACGGGUAGCCGGCCCGAGAGGGUGACCGGCCACACUGGGACUGAGACACGGCCCAGACUCCUACGGGAGGCAGCAGUGGGGAAUAUUGGACAAUGGGCGGAAGCCUGAUCCAGCAACGCCGCGUGAGGGAUGACGGCCUUCGGGUUGUAAACCUCUUUCACCAUUGACGAAACUGCAUCUUUUUGGGUGUGGUGACGGUAGGUGGGGAAGAAGCACCGGCCAACUACGUGCCAGCAGCCGCGGUAAUACGUAGGGUGCGAGCGUUGUCCGGAAUUAUUGGGCGUAAAGGGCUCGUAGGCGGUUUGUCGCGUCGGGAGUGAAAUCAUCUGGCUUAACUGGGUGCGUGCUUUCGAUACGGGCAGACUAGAGGUAUGCAGGGGAGAACGGAAUUCCUGGUGUAGCGGUGAAAUGCGCAGAUAUCAGGAGGAACACCGGUGGCGAAGGCGGUUCUCUGGGCAUGAUCUGACGCUGAGGAGCGAAAGUGUGGGGAGCGAACAGGAUUAGAUACCCUGGUAGUCCACACCGUAAACGUUGG